rnacentral:rRNA from 1 species
CGAUGGAGGGACGCAGGAGGCUAAGGAAUGCACACGAUCGGAAAUGUGUGUCCAAGCAGCAAGUCUGAGAACGAGUGAAAUGCUUUUUCUCUCAAGGACAAGCUGUGAUGGGGAGCGAAAUUUAGUAGCGAAGUUCCUGAUGUCACACUGCCAAGAAAAGCUUCUAGUGAGAAAGUAACUGCCCGUACCGCAAACCGACACAGGUAGUUGAGGAGAGAAUCCUAAGGUGUGCGAGAGAACUCUCGUUAAGGAACUCGGCAAAAUGACCCCGUAACCUCGGGAGAAGGGGUGCUGACCGCAAGGUCAGCCGCAGUGAAUAGGCCCAAGCGACUGUUUAUCAAAAACACAGGUCUCUGCAAAAUCGAAAGAUGACGUAUAGGGGCUGACGCCUGCCCGGUGCUGGAAGGUUAAGAGGAGAGGUUAGCGCAAGCGAAGCUUUGAAUUGAAGCCCCAGUAAACGGCGGCCGUAACAAUAACGGUCCUAAGGUAGCGAAAUUCCUUGUCGGGUAAGUUCCGACCCGCACGAAAGGCGUAACGAUUUGGGCACUGCCUCAACGAGAGACUCGGUGAAAUUAUAGUACCAGUGAAGAUGCUGGUUACCCGCGACAGGACGGAAAGACCCCAUGGAGCUUUACUGCAGUUUGAUAUUGCGUGUUUGUAUCACAUGUACAGGAUAGGUAGGAGCCGAAGAUACCGGGACGCCAGUCUCGGAGGAGGCAACGGUGGGAUACUACCCUUGUGAUAUGACCACUCUAACCCGCUGCUCUUAGCGAGCAGGGAGACAGUGUCAGACGGGCAGUUUGACUGGGGCGGUCGCCUCCAAAAAUGUAACGGAGGCGCCCAAAGGUUCCCUCAGAAUGGUUGGAAAUCAUUCGUAGAGUGUAAAGGCAGAAGGGAGCUUGACUGCGAGACCUACAAGUCGAGCAGGGACGAAAGUCGGGCUUAGUGAUCCGGUGGUUCCGCAUGGAAGGGCCAUCGCUCAACGGGUAAAAGCUACCCUGGGGAUAACAGGCUUAUCUCCCCCAAGAGUUCACAUCGACGGGGAGGUUUGGCACCUCGAUGUCGGCUCAUCGCAUCCUGGGGCUGUAGUCGGUCCCAAGGGUUGGGCUGUUCGCCCAUUAAAGCGGUACGCGAGCUGGGUUCAGAACGUCGUGAGACAGUUCGGUCCCUAUCCGUCGCGGGCGUUGGAAAUUUGAGAGGAGCUGUCCUUAGUACGAGAGGACCGGGAUGGACACACCGCUGGUGUACCAGUUGUUCUGCCAAGAGCAUCGCUGGGUAGCUAUGUGUGGACGGGAUAAACGCUGAAAGCAUCUAAGCGUGAAGCCCCCCUCAAGAUGAGAUUUCCCAUCACUUUAAGUGAGUAAGACCCCUGAGAGAUGAUCAGGUAGAUAGGUUGGGAGUGGAAGUACAGCGAUGUAUGGAGCGGACCAAUACUAAUCGGUCGAGGACUUAACCG